UUAAUAAUAAAUAUAUAUGUAUAUUUAAACGCUUACCUUCCAUUUUAGAAUCAACACUAUGUAUUAGUACCAAGUCAGAAAGAGCGAUAAGGGCUAGACAAUGGGGAUUAAGUGACUUGCCCAGGGUCACACAGCUAGAAAAUGUCUGAAGGAAGAUUUGAACCCAGGACUUUUCAUUUCUAGGCCUGGCUCAACUGAGUCACCUAACUUCCCCCCUUAUUAAUAUAUAUUUUUAAGCUGUGGUCCUCAAAUGGAACUCAAUAUUCCAAUAUGGCCUUACCAGAGUGUAAAAGAGACAAUCCCCUCCUUGCCUAUGAUUCGCUUCAUGAAUUCUAGCAUUGCACUAGCCUUUUGAAGUCAAGGCCACAUCACACCAUUAAGUCAUACUGAAUUUCCAGUUGAAUAAAUACCCAGAUCUUUUUCAGAAAGACAGCUGUCUGACCAUGCCUGUUCUCUCCUGGAUUAUUGGUCCUAAUCUUCAUCCUCAUCGAAGGCACUGGACCGGGCAUCCAGAUGGCCCAAGUUGGAAAGCUGCCUCAGACCCUCGGGAGCUGUGGAUUGGGACAAAUGACGAUAUCCUAGAAUCAGAGAUUUCGAACUGGAAGUGACUGCAGAGGCCACUGAAUGCAACACUUUCGUUUUACAGAUGAGGAAACUGAGACAUACAGAAAGAAGUUAAGCAACUUAUCCUGGGUCACAAAGCUAGGAAGUAUCUAAGGUGGGAUAUGAAGAGAAAAUAAAAGUAUGGACACAUGGAUUGUGUGGACUUGU
rnacentral:lncRNA from 1 species